GCAAUACCUGCCCAGUGCGAAAUAUUACUGUAAACGGCCGCCCUAGCGUGAGGGUGCUAAGGUAGCGAAAUUCCUUGCCUUUUGAUUGUAGGCCUGCAUGAAUGGUUUAACGAGGGUUUAACUGUCUCUAAAUUUUUUAUUGAAAUUGUACUGAAGGUGAAGAUACCUUCAUUUAAAAGUUAGACAAAAAGACCCCGUGCAACUUUGAAAAUUAACUUUAUUCAGAAGUAAAAGAUUUUUAGGUGGGGCGCCUAGAAAGUAAGUCUAACCUUUCUGAAUAAUCAGUUCUUUCCGGAUUCGACCCGAUUAUAUUCGAUCAUAGGAGAAGUUACGCCGGGGAUAACAGGCUAAUCCUUUAGUAGAGCUCGUAUUGGCUAAAGGGAUUGGCACCUCGAUGUUGAAUCAGGGAUGAUAGCUUCAAGGCGUAGAGGCUU
rnacentral:rRNA from 1 species